rnacentral:rRNA from 1 species
UACGGAGGGUGCGAGCGUUAUUCGGAAUUACUGGGCGUAAAGCGCGCGUAGGCGGUUUGAUAAGUCGGGUGUGAAAGCCCCGGGCUUAACCUGGGAAUUGCAUUCGAUACUGUCUGACUCGAGUCUGGGAGAGGGAAGCGGAAUUCCGGGUGUAGCGGUGAAAUGCGUAGAUAUCCGGAGGAACAUCAGUGGCGAAGGCGGCUUCCUGGCCUAAGACUGACGCUGAGGUACGAAAGCGUGGGGAGCAAACAGG